rnacentral:rRNA from 1 species
UACGGGGGAUGCGAGCGUUGUCCGGAUUCACUGGGCGUAAAGGGCGCGUAGGCGGCCCGGUCAGUCGGCGCUCUAAGUGCGGGGCUCAACCCCGUGAUGGCGCCGGGACGGCCGGGCUGGGGCGCGGCAGAGGGAGACGGAAUGCUGGGUGUAGUGGUGAAAUGCGUAGAGAUCCGGCGGAACACCGGUGGCGAAGGCGGUCUCCUGGGCCGAGGGCCGACGCUGAGGCGCGAGAGCGUGGGGAGCGAACCGG